ensembl:snoRNA
UGCAAGUGCUGUUUUUCUCACGAUGGUCUUCCAAGCCGUUGUGGCUUUGACGAAACUGCCUGUAGGCAACUCUGAUGCAGUGUU